UGAUGACGAUCAUAACUGAUGAUAAUGAUGAUAAUUGAUGAUAACGACGAUGAUCAUCAUCACACUUAUCAUAACUUUUCUUCA